rnacentral:tRNA from 1 species
UCGAGCGGCCCGAGCAGCCGGUUUCGCCCUGCCGCGCCUUGAUCGAGCAGGUGUAGUAGCGAUAGCGCCCGCCCUUGCCGGUGCGGAUGGUC